CAAGGCUUGACAUAUAGAGGAAAAACGUGGAAACACGUUCCCCGCAAGGUCUCUAUACAGGUGGUGCAUGGUUGUCGUCAGCUCGUGUCGUGAGAUGUUGGGUUAAGUCCCGCAACGAGCGCAACCCUCGUCCUAUGUUGCCAGCACGUUAUGGUGGGAACUCAUGGGAUACUGCCGGGGUCAACUCGGAGGAAGGUGGGGAUGACGUCAAAUCAUCAUGCCCCUUAUGUCUUGGGCUUCACGCAUGCUACAAUGGCCGGUACAGAGGGCUGCAAUACCGUAAGGUGGAGCGAAUCCCAAAAAGCCGGUCUCAGUUCGGAUUGAGGUCUGCAACUCGACCUCAUGAAGUCGGAGUCGCUAGUAAUCGCAGAUCAGCAACGCUGCGGUGAAUACGUUCCC
rnacentral:rRNA from 1 species